GACGCCCGUCCUUCUUUUUCCGGUGCUUUCAGCCAUUAGGUGCAACUUCCUGGUGCAGUCACUCCACUGUUGUUCUGUCCUCUCCCGGCUUGUGUGGCGAACGUGGGUGUUUGUAAAACCGUUUCUCCAAAUCCUUCGAGGGUGUGAAUCGUCCCGAGGCUGUCUGGCCGGUGGCAUGUGUUUCCCUCCCCUCCGGAAGCGCCGAGGGUGUGAAGUGCGCAUGUUCGCUGCGCUCUUGGCAUGACGCGCUAACGUGUUUUCAACUCCAGGCCCUUCCGCUGCCAAGUACUGCCCUGUUCCCCGGUUCGAAAGCUGGACUUGAAAUGCGUACCUCGUGAUAAUGCCGUCACAUUCCGUCCUUGCUGUGAGUGUCUGCCACCUGAUACGUUCAUGUGAAGAAGACGGCAGAGUGGCCCGGAGUGGAGAUCGGCCCCACAGGCUGUCCUUGGUGGGCUGACGUCGGUGCCUGUUACGCAUCGCUGCCGUCCAUCCGACUCCUGUGGGGCCCGCGUAGUUGUAACGUGGCCGUUUGUUUGUUUAGAUGUCGAGCAGAUGUUCGCUGUGUCUCAGAUGUUACUGGAAAAUGGACAGUGUUGGGGGUGGCGGUUUAAAAAGAAAAAGGCAAAAGGGGAUCCGAGUUACAAUUCUUACGGAAGCAGUCAAUGCCUCAGUUUGCACAAUGGAGAAUGGGUUUGCAGACAGUGUCGGCUAAUCAUCUUCCUGUUGAAACGCCUGUUUGGAGACUUUUUCGACGUGGCUUGAUUGACUAGGCGCCUCAGUGUCGUAAUUGACUUUUGGGAGGGGAUUCGCAUCACAUUGAUAGAAGAUGCUCUCUGUGUUAAAGUUUACUGUGAGCAAAAUGUUACUCUAACUGUUUUUGCCUCCUUCACUGUUGAGCAUUUCUCUUUGUGGGGUCAUACAAACCGAUGAGAAAUUCAUGAUGGGGAAAACUUGUAUGGUUCUUCACCUCGUUUUUGGUCAUUGUUCUUUUGCAUUGUGAUGACGACUGUGGGCCUUUUUCUUAGGAUGCUGCAUACGUCUGCAAAAUCUUGCAUGUGAACUGUAGACCUCUAAAGACGCAUAGGCUACGCCCUCUGCUUUGGAUUAUCUCUUGAAAUAAACUGGUAGUCUUCUUGGAACGUGAAAUGAUUCCUCUAUGUUUAUUUUGUGCCACUGCAAUGGAAGUGGGAAGUCAUUUUAUUGAGAUUUUUCUGGAUGAGUGUUGCACUGCUCUUCUGUAUGCUGCCUGUGCAUGACACUUGCUUUUACUUGGCUGGGUCUUAAGGGAGAGCUAUCCUAUGUAACUAAAGCUUCUAAACUUUCUUCCAGGUACUAGGGAAAGACCUUUUAAAUAAUUAUGUCCUGCGAUUUUCAGCCUGCACUCCAUGCGUUUUACUAUGUUGACCAUUAUCAUAAUCUGUUUUAGUAAUCUGUGUUGACUUCGGCCACAGUCAGUAGGUUUUCAAGGGAAAUAAAGAAGGUACUUGCUUCAUUGUGACUUGAAGGAAGCUUUUCUUAAUUUGAGAACUUUUGAAACUGUGUAGUGCUCACUCAAGUUUUGAAGGCAUUUAAAGAGUGAAAAUAGGAAGUUGUUGUCCGCUGUUUGUAAUUUGACCUUAUUUUGAGAGCCCCUGUUGGAGUGGCUUUGAAAAUCCCAGCUCUUAAGAAAUACUUGGAGGGGGUCAUGGGACCUCCAGAUGGGUAACUCUCACAUCAAUACCUAUCAGUUGGUACUGUCUCUGUUUGUUUAUCACCUUGAGUUCUUUUUAAUUUUUUAAUGUUUCUUUAUUUUUGAGAGAGAGACAGACAGACAGACAGAAUGUGAGUGGGGGAGAGGCAGAGAGAGAGGGAGACACGGACCGCGACAUCAUGACCUGAGCCGAAGUGGACGCCCAACCGACUGAGCCACUCAGGUGCCCCGUGUUUAUCAACUUGAAUUCUUUUUUUUUUCAAUUUUUUAAAUGUUUUUAUUAUUUUUGAGAGAGAGAGAGAGAGAGCGCAGGGAAGGGGCAGACAGAGAGGGAGACACAGAAUCCAAAGCAGGCUCCAGGCUCCGAGCUGUCAGCACAGAGCCCCAACUCAGGGCUCAACCUCACAAACUGUGAGAUCAUGACCUGAGCUGAAGUCUGACACUGAACCGACUGAGCCACCCAAGCUCCCCAUCACCUUGAAUUCUUGAGCAAGCGGGUCCGUUUAGUGUGGGGAAGGUGGUGAUGUGACGUUAUCAACCGACCUAUCAGUGGGGGGUACCAUUGGAUUCCAUGACGUC